GAGUUAGAAUGAGCCAAGCAAUAGGGACAGGGAGCAUUUCAGGCAGAGGAAACAGCAUGAGCAGAGAUCUGAGGAUCACAUUCCCCCGAGCAUUGGAUGAAAACCUGCUGUUUGAGCUAAGAGAAAGAAACUGAGGUUCAAGGAGGCAAAGGAUCCAAGGUCAUGGGCUCAUUCAUUCCUUCACUGACUCAGCAACCAUUAGUCGACACGUGCUGCUGGCAGGCUGGCCCUCGGUGCUACGGAAACAGCGGUUCCUGUCCGCGUAAUGCCAGCCCAACCAGCCAACCCACCACGCUGAGAGUGUAGUCAUUAAAUCUUGCUCGGAACCUCAGAGUCAUGCUGCCCAACAGUGGAAGCUUCAUCUUCAGAGAUG